AGAACGAACGCUGGCGGCAUGCCUAAUACAUGCAAGUCGAACGAACACUUCGGUGUUAGUGGCGCACGGGUGCGUAACGCGUGGGAAUCUGCCCUUGGGUUCGGAAUAACAGUUGGAAACGACUGCUAAUACCGGACGAUAUCGAAAGAUCAAAGAUUUAUCGCCCAGGGAUGAGCCCGCGUAGGAUUAGCUAGUUGGUGAGGUAAAGGCUCGACCAAGGCGACGAUCCUUAGCUGGCCUGAGAGGAUGAUCAGCCACACUGGGACUGAGACACGGCCCAGACCUCCUACGGGAGCAGCAGUAGGGAAUAUUGGACAAGUGGGCGCAAGCCUGACUCCAGCAAUGCCGCGUGAGUGAU
rnacentral:rRNA from 1 species